UCCGGGAUCGUCUAAUGGUAGGACGCUAGGUUCUGGCCCUAGUAAUCUUGGUUCGAGCCCAAGUCCCGGAG
rfam:Parcubacteria bacterium GW2011_GWC2_44_22 TW45_C0003, whole genome shotgun sequence.